GAUGAAGAACGUAGCGAAAUGCGAUAAGUAAUGUGAAUUGCAGAAUUCAGUGAAUCAUCGAAUCUUUGAACGCACAUUGCGCCCGUCAGUAUUCUGGCGGGCAUGCCUGUUCGAGCGUCAUUACGCCCGUCAAGUCCCCUGUGGACUUGGUGUUGGGGAUCGGCGAGGCUGGUUUUCCAGCACAGCCGUCCCUUAAAUUAAUUGGCGGUCUCGCCGUGGCCCUCCUCUGCGCAGUAGUAAAACACUCGCAACAGGAGCCCGGCGCGGUCCACUGCCGUAAAACCCCCCAACUUUUUAUAGUUGACCUCGAAUCAGGUAGGACUACCCGCUGAACUUAAGCAUAUCAAUAAGCGGAGGA
rnacentral:misc_RNA from 1 species